GAGGGUAUAGCUCAGUGGUAGAGUGCAUGCCUAGCAUGCAUGAGGUCCUGGGUUCAAUCCCCUACAUCUCCA
rnacentral:tRNA from 1 species